rnacentral:misc_RNA from 1 species
AACGCACGAGACCUGCGGACCUGCGGAGGGAUCAUUAGUGAACGCCCCCACGGGCUUAUAACUAUUCCAAACCUCUGUGAACCGUGCCCUUCGGGGCUAUUUUACAAACAUGGUGUAAUGAACGUCAUAUAUCAUAACAAAACAAAACUUUUAACAACGGAUCUCU